rnacentral:lncRNA from 1 species
AUUCAAGGAUGACUGAAUGCAAUGAUAUUUAAUAGCGGAUUAUAUUGAUAUUGAGUGAAUGCAACGAGGUCACGGUGUCCGAACUUUUUUUCUUUUAAACAAUACUGUGAUUUUUUAAAAAUGGCUCUAGAACUAUUUGAGGCUGGAGCGGGCCAUGGAUUUUUUGGCCUUCUAUGUAGCAAGCAAUAUCUGGAAAGAAUAUUAAUAAAAAAACAAAUUCUUUGCUGUUUCACAUAAAUUGAGGAGAAACAGGGUACAAAUUAAAUGUUUCCUGUAUUAAACAACCCCAUCAAUUAUUUAGGUUGUCCCAUUUAUACUGGAAACAAAAAGGCUAUGUUUUUGAACAUGUAGCUAGUUGAAAUGAGGGGGAAGAUCUCCAGACAGUCUAAUAGCUUGUCUCACCUGGUGGCAAUAUAAUUUUGGUGGAACUUGUCUCAUCUCUAUGUCUAUGCAUCUCCCGUCAAAUGCUGCAACCAAUUCAGUGUGUUAUAAUGGUAGAGCUGAGAACUUAUUUUCAUAAUUUUUUUGUGGGAGGAUAAAUGGUGCUUGGCUUUAGAAGAUUUGAGGGAUUUGAAGGAGGAUGGAGUGUUUAAGGUGUUGUUGAAAGUCAGAAGUUAGAACCUGUAAAUGUCAAUGCUGUGGAGAUUUAAAAACAUUUCUUUAAAUGAGGUCAACUUGUAUUCACGAUUUGAAUUGUUUUGGCAGUUGUACUGGAACUCACUGUCCCAGUUACACAUAGACGUUGCAUCACAGCUAUUCUUGCCAGCUUGUUUGUUGGAAAAUUUUGUUAUAACCUCUGGUACCUGAUUAAGAGUGGUUGAGCUUCCACGGAAAAUUUAAUUUUGCUACUCGUGUGAUUAGGCUGAAUGGCGAACUGGUUCUGUAAAAGUCUUGGUUGCUUUUUGCUGUUUUCAGCGAAUUCUUGCAUCUCUUCAUAAGACCACUUAUGUAUGACGGGAGGCUCUGUUAUCUUGAACUUAGAGCACGAUUAAUGAGUCUUCCAACUAUAUAAUUUCCUUGUAUGUAUUAAGUGUUUUGGAUCUAUAGAAUAUAGACUGUCAAAUGUUUGAUGGGUGAAGCCUUUUGUUCAUGUCUUUGGAAGUUGAAACUGAUGGAGUUAUGGAAUCCAGGACAAGUUCUGGCAAAUUAGAGACCAUAUAUCUCCUUGUAUUCUAGGUCAAAAGAAUGACACAAUAGCAUUCGGUUUUAGAGUAAACAAAUGAAAUUCUCUCAAGCAAAAAGUUCAUUCCUCUGGGUUUUCUUGGCAAAGACGA